UGCGCAGGCGGGCUUGUAAGUCAGUGGUGAAAUACUGCCGCUUAACGGUAGAACUGCCAUUGAUACUGCGAGUCUUGAAUAUGGUUGAGGUAGGCGGAAUGUGUUGUGUAGCGGUGAAAUGCAUAGAUAUGACACAGAACGCCAAUUGCCAAGGCAGCUUACUAAGCCAUUAUUGACGCUGAGGCACGAAAGCGUGGGGAGCGAACAGGAUUAGAUACCCUGGUAGUCC
rnacentral:rRNA from 1 species